rnacentral:rRNA from 1 species
UUAACACAUGCAAGUCGAGCGGUAACAUUUCUAGCUUGCUAGAAGAUGACGAGCGGCGGACGGGUGAGUAACGCGUAGGAAUCUGCCUAGUAGUGGGGGACAACAUGUGGAAACGCAUGCUAAUACCGCAUACGCCCUACGGGGGAAAGGAGGGGAUCUUCGGACCUUUCGCUAUUAGAUGAGCCUGCGUGAGAUUAGCUAGUUGGUGGGGUAAAGGCCUACCAAGGCGACGAUCUCUAGCUGGUCUGAGAGGAUGAUCAGCCACACUGGGACUGAGACACGGCCCAGACUCCUACGGGAGGCAGCAGUGGGGAAUAUUGGACAAUGGGCGCAAGCCUGAUCCAGCCAUGCCGCGUGUGUGAAGAAGGCCUUAGGGUUGUAAAGCACUUUCAGGAGUGAGGAAGGGUGUGCAGUUAAUACCGGUAUAUUUUGACGUUAACUCCAGAAGAAGCACCGGCUAACUCUGUGCCAGCAGCCGCGGUAAUACAGAGGGUGCGAGCGUUAAUCGGAAUUACUGGGCGUAAAGCGCGCGUAGGCGGUUUGUUAAGUCGGAUGUGAAAUCCCAGGGCUCAACCUUGGAAUGGCACCCGAUACUGGCAGGCUAGAGUACGGUAGAGGGGUGUGGAAUUUCCUGUGUAGCGGUGAAAUGCGUAGAUAUAGGAAGGAACAUCAGUGGCGAAGGCGACACCCUGACCGAUAC